AUUGAACGCUGGCGGCAUGCCUUACACAUGCAAGUCGAACGGCAGCACGGGCUUCGGUCUGGUGGCGAGUGGCGAACGGGUGAGUAAAGUAUCGGAACGUACCUUUCAGUGGGGGAUAACGUAGCGAAAGUUACGCUAAUACCGCAUAUUCUGUGAGCAGGAAAGCAGGGGAUCGCAAGACCUUGCGCUGAUUGAGCGGCCGAUAUCAGAUUAGCUAGUUGGUGGGGUAAAGGCCUACCAAGGCGACGAUCUGUAGCGGGUCUGAGAGGAUGAUCCGCCACACUGGAACUGGGACACGGUCCAGACUCCUACGGGAGGCAGCAGUGGGGAAUUUUGGACAAUGGGGGCAACCCUGAUCCAGCCAUGCCGCGUGAGUGAAGAAGGCCUUCGGGUUGUAAAGCUCUUUCGGCCGGGAAGAAAUCGCAUGGGCUAAUACCCUGUGUGGAUGACGGUACCGGAAUAAGAAGCACCGGCUAACUACGUGCCAGCCGCCGCCGUAAAAC
rnacentral:rRNA from 1 species